rnacentral:rRNA from 1 species
AGUGGACCUGGACUCUGUUGUGUCAUUACAACUGGUCUGAAAUGCAUGAGUGCACCCUGCUGUUGCAGCGUCUUCAGUGUGAUAAGCAUCUUCACUGGAUCAAGUUCCUUUGGGACACGCAAGCAUUGUGGGCUCUGUGCUGACAAACUGUCUUUGGACAACCUUGACAAUUUGACCUCAGAUCGGGUGGGACUACCCGCUGAACUUAAGCAUAUCAAUAAGCGGAGGAAAAGAAACUAACAAGGAUUCCCCUAGUAACGGCGAGUGAAGAGGGAAAAGCUCAAAUUUUGAAUCUGGUGCCUUUGGCAUCCGAGUUGUAAUCUAGAGAAGUGUUUUCUGCCUCGGACCACACAUAAAUUCCCUGGAAUGGGGUGUCAUAGAGGGUGAGAAUCCCGUUUGUGGUGUGGACUACCUUGGCUCUGUGAUACACUCUCAACGAGUCGAGUUGUUUGGGAAUGCAGCUCAAAAUGGGUGGUAAAUUCCAUCUAAAGCUAAAUAUUGGCGAGAGACCGAUAGCGAACAAGUACCGUGAGGGAAAGAUGAAAAGCACUUUGGAAAGAGAGUGAAACAGUACGUGAAAUUGUUGAAAGGGAAGCGUUUGAAGUCAGUCACAUUGGUYGGAAUUCAGCCUGGCUUAUGCCUGGUGUACUUUCUGGCAAAUGGGUCAGCGUCAAUUUYGAUCGAGGGAGAAAGACUUGAGGAA